GUUAAUUUCUAACCAAUACAAUCUAAUGUUUAGGCAUGUAGUAGUUAUUUUAACCAAAAAAUAUUAAAUUUCUACAGAAAGAGAUGCGUUAUUAAGUCAAGAGGACGAUUGUUGAACAAAAUGGAGCAUGCAACAAUUUUAGAUUUUUGGUUUUUGUCACUGAUGAUCUAAAACUCACCGAUUGAAAGUGUUUGCCAAAUGAUUGCAAGUUCAAUUCCUCUUCUCAAGGAGGGAUAAUCUAAGUUUUUGCAGGAAGCUGCCCGAAAAAGAAGAACCUUUCUUACUGGAAAUGAACUCCAAAUUAUCAAUUAUUCCAAAGGAACCCAAGGUAAUAGUUCCAACAGAGAUUUAUU